AUGUCUCUCCGUUCCUCUCCAACCCUGCCCACCUCCCUGUACCAGAGCUGUGAUCUCUCGGCAGUGGGGGGGCCCAUCUCUGCUGACCUCCUGGGUGUGGUGGAAGGAGAGGGGAUGCUGCAAUAUGUUUUCUGUGUCCCACUGUCUUGAAGCUGGGCCUGCCAAAGCCUGGGCCCACAGCUGCACUGGCAGCCCAAGGGGAAGGACCAGUUGGGGCAGCCGGGCAUGUGAGGCCCUGGGCAAGGGGAUAGGGCUGGUGGGGUGCGGCAUAGGCUUCAGAAGUAUCUGCACAAUUAGAAAAGUCCCCAGAAGCUUUUUCUUGGAGGGUACACUUUCUUCACUGUCCCUAUUCCUAGACCUGGGGCUUGAGCUGAGGAUGGGAUGAUGUGCCCAGGGAGGGACCCACGAGAGCACAAGGGAAGGUGGCCACCUGGGGGUGUCCCGGGGACUCCUGUCAGUGCCUUCAGCCCACCAGCAGGAGCUUGGAGUAUUGGGGAGUGGGGAUGAGUCCAUCAAGCACAACUGUUCUCUGAGUGGAACCAAAGAAGCAAGGAGCUAGGACCCCCAGUCCCGCCCCCCAGGAGCACAAGCAGGCUCCCCUCAGUCAAGGCAGUGGGAUGGGCCGCUGAGGAACGGGGCAGGCAAGGUCACUGCUCAGUCAUGUCCACGGGCGAUGAGCCGUGGGUUCUGCUGAGUGGGUGGAGCUCGUUGCUUUCUCCAAGCUUGGAACUGUUUUGAAAGAUAACACGGAGGGAAAGGGAGAGCCACCUGGUACUUGUCCACCCUGCCUCCUCUGUUCUGAAAUUCCAUCCCCCUCAGCUUAGGGGAAUGCAACUUUUUCCCUUUCCUUCUCACUUUUGCAUGUUUUUACUGAUCAUUCGAUAUGCUAACCGUUCUCAGCCCUGAGCCUUGGAGAGGAGGGCUGUAACGCCUUCAGUCAGUCUCUGGGGAUGAAACUCUUAAAUGCUUUGUAUAUUUUCUCAAUUAGAUCUCCUUUCAGAAGUGUCUAUAGAACAAUAAAAAUCUUUUACUUCUGA